UUUUGUGUUGUACAAAGAUUAAUUUUACAUUUUCUCUGGAAGUAUUAAUUUAGAAAGAUAAUAUGCUUCAUUGGUGUUGUGUUUUGAAGUGUAAAAUGCAAAGUAAUCGUGAUAAAGUCAAGAUAAAGUUCACUUUUAAACUGAACUAAAUAAGGUAUCAUCUGAGAGACAACAAUGGUUAAAUGCAAUACAAUGUAAAUGUUUUACUAGCGAAAUGAAAAUUCUCCUGUCCUGUCUGCUGUAAUCAUUUUAUAUCUGGAAAACCAGCCGACUUAAUCGAUAAUAACAAUCCAGAUUGGGUUCCUUCAAUAAAUAUGGGCUAUAAACACAAUGAAAUAAGUUCCCCAAAAUCUAAAAUGGAGUGUAUCAAAGGAGAAUUAAAAGAAAAAAUAUUCAUAUUGAAAUUAUUUAUAAGGCACUGGACUGUCUUAAAUUCUACAAAUACUAGAAUCAGCUGAGAGAAGUGGUGUACAAAAAAACUAGGAAGGGAAUGGAAUAUGUGGCUACGAAAGGCAAAAGAAAUGAUUACAAAGCA
rnacentral:lncRNA from 1 species